CAUUACAUACAAUGACUCUCGGCAACGGAUAUCUCGGCUCUUGCAUCGAUGAAGAACGUAGCAAAAUGCGAUACUUGGUGUGAAUUGCAGAAUCCCGUGAACCAUCGAGUCUUUGAACGCAAGUUGCGCCCGAAGCCAUUAGGCCGAGGGCACGCCUGCCUGGGUGUCAC
rnacentral:rRNA from 1 species